CCUACGGGCGGCAGCAGUGAGGAAUAUUGGUCAAUGGACGGGAGACUGAACCAGCCAAGUAGCGUGAAGGAUGACUGUACAGAGGGUUGUAAACCUCUUUUAUCUGGGAAUAAAACAGGGUAUGCAUACCCUCAUGUGUGUACCAUAUGAAUAAGGAUCGGCUAACUCCGUGCCAGCAGCCGCGGUAAUACGGAGGAUCCGAGCGUUAUCCGGAUUUAUUGGGUUUAAAGGGUGCGUAGGUGGUUUGUUAAGACAGUUGUGAAAGUUUGCGGCUCAACCGUAAAAUUGCAGUUGAAACUGGCAGUCUUGAGUACAGGAGAGGUAGGCGGAAUGCGUGGUGUAGCGGUGAAAUGCUUAGAUAUCGCGAAGAACUCCGAUUGCGAAGGCAGCAUACUGGAUUGCAACUGACACUGAUGCUCGAAAGUGUGGGUAUCAAACAGGAUUAGAUACCCUUGUAGUC
rnacentral:rRNA from 1 species